rnacentral:misc_RNA from 1 species
GAAAUGCGAUAAGUAAUGUGAAUUGCAGAAUUCAGUGAAUCAUCGAAUCUUUGAACGCACAUUGCGCCCGCCAGUAUUCUGGCGGGCAUGCCUGUCCGAGCGUCAUUUCAACCAUCAAGCCCCCGGGCUUGUGUUGGGGACCUGCGGCUGCCCGCAGGCCCUGAAAACCAGUGGCGGGCUCGCUGUCACACCGAGCGUAGUAGCAAUCACCUCGCUCAGGGCGUGCUGCGGGUUCCGGCCGUUAAACAGCCUUACAAAACCCAAGGUUGACCUCGGAUCGGGCAGGGAUACCCGCUGAACUUAAGC